ACAAACCCUAGUAGCAGCCGUCACCCCCUUUACCUUUUCAUUCUCAAACAUUCACUCUCUCUCUCCCUCUCUCCCAUCCGCAGCUCUUCCUCUCUGCUUCCUCAUUCAAUCUUUCAUUCCUUCUUCUCUUCCUCACUUCAACUCUCCUUCCUCUCUUCCUCUCUUCCUCUCUUCCUCUCUCUCUGCUCCUCGUCUAAUAUUCCUUGCUUUCUCCAUAAACUUUCGAUCUCUUCUUUUCAAAUACAAGUCAAAUAGUUUUUUAAUCUGGGAUUCAUAUGGAGGUCGCACGGUCCAGACAUCCAUCUUUGUUCCUCCGGAUUUCUUUAACAGUGCUCGUGGCCGGAUGUUACAAUCGGCGAGGCGUCGGUUGGUUGGUGGCGAGGGUUUGUGGAUGCUUGGCGGCGGGUGAUGCAGUAGAACCCUAGGUUUUCUUUUGUUGUAUUUUAUGGCUUGGGCCUGUAUUGUUUGUUGGAUCUAUUGGGCAGUUUGGCAGGUGCUCUUUUGGGCUAGUUUACCAA